CAAGUUGGGCAGUCAAAAGGGAAAGAGCCCAGACCACCGGCUAAGGUCCCAAAGUGCGUGUUAAGUGGAAAAGGAUGUGGGAAUUCGAAGACAACUAGGAUGUUGGCUCAGAAGCAGCCAUACAUUCAAAGAGUGCGUAACAGCUCACUAGUCGAGAGUCCCUGCGCCGAAAAUGUCCGGGGCUGAAACACGACACCGAAGCCGUGGACUCGCAAUGCGAGUGGUAGAGGAGCAUUCUUAAAACCGACGAAGCUGUACCGAAAGGAGCAGUGGAGGGAUAAGAAGAGAGAAUGCCGGAAUGAGUAGCGAGAGAAAGGUGGGAAUCCUUUCGGCCGAAUAUCUAAGGUUUCCAGAGUAAAGCUGAUCUGCUCUGGGUAAGUCGGGGCCUAAGCACAGGUCGCAAGACGUAAGCGAUGGAUAACGGGUUUAGAUUCCUGUACCACGCAUUAUCAGAACUGUAGGGACGCAUGUGGAAAGCACGAGCCGGGAAUAGAAAGACCGGUACAAGCGGGGUAGGUGUACAACAGGCAAAUCCGUUGUAUAAUCCGAAGACGUGAUGUGGAGCGAAAUAAAGUAGUGAAGCGUGUGAGCCAUGUGCCGAGAAAAGCUGCUAUUGUGUAAUGCGUGCCCGUACCGUAAACCGACACAGGUGGAUGAGGAGAGAAUCCUAAGGCCGACGGAAGAAGCAUUGUUAAGGAAUUCGGCAAAAUGACCCCGUAACUUCGGGAGAAGGGGUGCCUGCGAGAGCAGGCCGCAGAGAAUAGGCUCAAGCAACUGUUUAGCAAAAACACAGGUCUAUGCGAAACCAAAAGGUGAAGUAUAUGGGCUGACGCCUGCCCGGUGCUGGAAGGUUAAGAGGAGAGGUUAGCGUAAGCGAAGCUUUGAAUUUAAGCCCCAGUAAACGGCGGCCGUAACGAUAACGGUCCUAAGGUAGCGAAAUUCCUUGUCGGGUAAGUUCCGACCCGCACGAAAGGCGUAAUGAUUUGAGCACUGUCUCGACAAUGCAUCCGGUGAAAUUGAAGUACCAGUGAAGAUGCUGGUUACCCGCGCCAGGACGGAAAGACCCCAUGGAGCUUUACUCCAGUUUGAUACUGGGAUUCGGUACUGCAUGUACAGGAUAGGUGGGAGACAAAGAAGGAUGGACGCCAGACUGUCCGGAGUCGCUGUUGGGAUACCACCCCUGUAGUACUGGGUUUCUAACCAGUUGCCAUGAACUGGCAAUGGGACAAUGUCAGGCGGGGAGUUUGACUGGGGCGGUCGCCUCCGAAAGGGUAUCGGAGGCGCUCAAAGGUUCCCUCAGAAUGGUUGGAAACCAUUUGAAGAGUGCAAAGGCAGAAGGGAGCUUGACUGCGACACCGACGGGUGGAGCAGGUGCG
rnacentral:rRNA from 1 species